rnacentral:rRNA from 1 species
GAUGAACGCUGGCGGCGUGCUUAACACAUGCAAGUCGAGCGAGAAGUUUUGAAAAGAUUCUUCGGAUGAAAUUUAAAAUGGAAAGCGGCGGACGGGUGAGUAACGCGUAGGCAACCUGCCCCAUACAAAGGGAUAGCAUUUGGAAACGAAUAUUAAUACCUUAUGAAACUUAACUAGUGCAUGCUAGGUAGGUCAAAGAUUUAUCGGUAUGGGAUGGGCCUGCGUCUGAUUAGCUAGUUGGUGAGGUAACGGCUCACCAAGGCGACGAUCAGUAGCCGACAUGAGAGGGUGAACGGCCACAUUGGAACUGAGACACGGUCCAAACUCCUACGGGAGGCAGCAGUGGGGAAUAUUGCACAAUGGGGGAAACCCUGAUGCAGCAACGCCGCGUGAACGAUGAAGGCCUUUGGGGCGUAAAGUUCUGUUCUAGGUGAUGAAAACUGACAGUAACCUAGGAGAAAGCCCCGGCUAACUCCGUG